rnacentral:rRNA from 1 species
ACCUGCUGAAUUUAAGCAUAUCAGUAAGCAGAGGAAUUGCAUCAAAUAUGGAUUCUGUAAGUAAUUGCGAAUGAAAUCAAAGUUGUUCAUAUUGAUAAUGUUUGCUGUCAUGCAAAUAAAUGUUUACUGUUGGCAUUGUACAAACAUGUUGGCAAGCAAAAGCUUCCUGACAAGGUGCAACAUGGGAUGUGAAAUUCUUGUUUGCUUGCAUGACCUGUGUACUGUCUGUGUCUUGUGAAUCACAUUCCUCGCCAAUGGAAUGCAAAUUGCAUGGUAAGGUACAUGAGAUAUGACAUGAGUUUGAGAUUCAUGAUGAGCAAGUACCGUGAGGGAAAUGUGAAAAGGACUUUGAAAAGAGAAUUAAAGAAAGCCUGCAAUUGCAUACUGUAAAAGCAAGUGAAUACAAAUUACAAAUGGAAUAGCUUUCUUGACAUGUCUUUGUGAUUUUUGUUGAAGCUUGCAUUUUUCAUGUCUGUUUGUAAAUGCAAAUAGCAGUGCAUGUUUGUGCUGCACACCUGUGUAGCAGAUCCAUGCUUGUAUGUGUGCAUUUAUGUCUUCUGUGCGCUCAACUCCAUUUUGCAUACAAUGGUGAAUCUCCCACCAAUGUUUCAUGUGCAUUUGGACAGCGUAGUUAGCAUGUUUCAUUCACUUGACCCGUCUUGAAACACGGACCAAGGAGUCUGGCAAGUGUGCAAGCAAUUGUAACUGUAUAAAUACACAUGUAAUGAAAAUUAUUGUUGUAUCUGAUUCCUAACCCAUCAAUGAUUUUGUAUCAAUCAUUUGAAUGUGAGCAUUAUUGCUAGGACCCGAAAGAUGGUGAACUAUGCCUGCAUAAAAUAAAUUCAGAGGAAACUCUGAUGGAAGUUUGUAUCGGUACUGACGUGCAAAUCGUCGUCAUAAUGGGUAUA